rnacentral:rRNA from 1 species
ACGGGGGGUGCGAGCGUUGUCCGGAAUUACUGGGCGUAAAGAGCGCGUAGGCGGCUGAUUAAGUCAGAUGUGAAAUACCUGGGCUUAACCCCGGAGGGGCAUUUGAAACUGGUCGGCUAGAGGAGGGGAGAGGAAAGUGGAAUUCCUGGUGUAGCGGUGAAAUGCGUAGAUAUCAGGAGGAACACCAGUGGCGAAGGCGACUUUCUGGCCUUAUACUGACGCUGAGGCGCGAGAGCGUGGGUAGCAAACAG